GACGAACGCUGGCGGCGUGCUUAACACAUGCAAGUCGAACGCUGAAGCCUGGCUUUUGUUGGGUGGAUGAGUGGCGAACGGGUGAGUAACACGUGAGUAACCUGCCCUCUUCUUUGGGAUAACGCCCGGAAACGGGUGCUAAUACUGGAUAUUCACUUGCCUUCGCAUGGGGGUGGGUGGAAAGGUUUUUUUCUGGUGGGGGAUGGGCUCGCGGCCUAUCAGCUUGUUGGUGGGGUGAUGGCUUACCAAGGCUUUGACGGGUAGCCGGCCUGAGAGGGUGACCGGUCACAUUGGGACUGAGAUACGGCCCAGACUCCUACGGGAGGCAGCAGUGGGGAAUAUUGCACAAUGGGCGCAAGCCUGAUGCAGCGACGCCGCGUGAGGGAUGGAGGCCUUCGGGUUGUGAACCUCUUUCGCUCAUGGUCAAGCCGCAACUCAUGGUUGUGGUGAGGGUAGUGGGUAAAGAAGCGCCGGCUAACUACGUGCCAGCAGCCGCGGUAAUACGUAGGGCGCGAGCGUUGUCCGGAAUUAUUGGGCGUAAAGGGCUUGUAGGCGGUUGGUCGCGUCUGCCGUGAAAUCCUCUGGCUUAACUGGGGGCGUGCGGUGGGUACGGGCUGGCUUGAGUGCGGUAGGGGAGACUGGAACUCCUGGUGUAGCGGUGGAAUGCGCAGAUAUCAGGAAGAACACCGGUGGCGAAGGCGGGUCUCUGGGCCGUUACUGACGCUGAGGAGCGAAAGCGUGGGGAGCGAACAGG
rnacentral:rRNA from 1 species